GCUCUCGUAGCUUAAUGGAUAGAGCAUCAGCUUGCGGAGCUGACGGUUGCAAGUUCGAGUCUUGCCGAGAGCA
rnacentral:tRNA from 1 species